rnacentral:lncRNA from 1 species
ACAGAAGACGAAGAGCUGGAAUAGAGCUCGCCUCGGCUCUGCUGGCCUUGGCUGCAGCUCUUCCAGAAACCCGGGGCGCCCACAGAAGAAUCUCUUACCUGGCUCUCUCUUCAGGGAUGACAUCAUCGGCUCACACCAGUCUUCCAGGACCACCUUCUGGAUGCCAAGGCUGCUGCUCGAGUACCUGCUGUGCACCUCUACCUCCUGGUACCCCAGCCACUCCCUCAAGUUGCCUGCAUGUUAUAUGGCCUAGCCAAGGAGCACGGAUUCCAGGAACCCACUACCAUACAGAGCAACUCCUUGUGGACCCCCCUGGGAUCAGGACAGCGAGGGACAAGCGACAAAGAGGAUCAUCAGUGGCCAGCUAGUUUCUCUGGGGUUCAAACCUUGAACCAGUGCCCUAGUGAGGGGGCACUGGCCAUGGCCCUUGACCUUUGCUCUGCUUGUGUCUUGAGUCUGAGCCCUUUCCUGUACAUCUGUGCUCGUGUUCAUCUGCUAGUGAACUGGAGUGCUGCCCUCCCCGAGGAGGGUCGUCCCUUGUGACUGAUCAUGCUGUCCUAACAAUGUCCUGAGCAAAAGGGUCCCUUUGGGAACCUCUCAGGAGGGGGACCCGGGUCAGGGGCGACCAGCAUCUUGCUGGCAACUCCGUGGGUGGGGUGGGGUGGGGUGCUUCCUUCUGGAAUGAGCACGUGGCUGACCCCCCAAGGCAUGUCCCCUCCCCCUCCUCCACCCACCUUCUCGGAGAUGUCCCUUUUGGGGUAGUGGGGACAUUAGGAGCAACCUCCUAGGGUUGUUGUGAGAAUUAAAUGAACUGCAGCAGCCUGAGGCAGGGCUGGGCAGAGACCUCAGCACAUGUUUGUUGAAAGGUUUGCAGGUGGAUCUAGUCCUCCCGUUCAUGGCUCAUGUGUCUCAACCAUUCUCUCGCAGACUCCUGCAGCCCCUAUGCCCAGGGCUCUCCUUGCGCCAGAGGUAGGUGGGAAAGAGAACUGGGAGAGCCCGGACUCACUCAUGAGAUUGAACUUAAAUUCACACGGAGGACACUUGGACUCUUGCCACAUUAGCCCCGGCUUCUCGAGGCCUGUCUACACUCGCUGCUUUCCUUCCUCACCUCCAAUUUCCCCUCCAACCCACUGCUUCCUGACUCGCUCUUCUCCAUCGAACGGCUCUCGCUCAGGCCUGUCGCGUCUUCCUGUGCCAUUUGCUGUUGUGCUCAGGUUCCACGAGCUGCCCAUCUCCACAGAAGAGCAGCUGGCAUUGCCCACCGGCCAUGCCGGCUGAAGAAAAGAAGACUGAGGACCCCAGGAUGCCCAGCGCGAGGACCCCAGGAAGCCCAGCGCGAGGACUCCACCCACGACGCCCAGCGCGAGGACUUCACGCACAACACGUUGCAACCCUCCUGGAUUAGGCCUCUACAGCCACGGGGACGCCUUGCACAUUUCCUGUGGGACAUGCUGGACCCAAGACUCUGGACCCUGGCCUCCCCUUGAGUAGAGAGACCCACCUACUGACUGAUGAACUGCGCUGACCCUGGGGUCAGGCAUGUGGCCUUGAUCCCUACCCAUGGACCCUGAGACUUGGGGGGGUGGGAGAAAGGCUGUUGUGUCUUCACUGUUGAGUCUACAUCUGUGAAAUGGGCUCAGGUUCCUACCUCACAGGGCUGUUGUGAGGCAGCCGCAAUGUGCUUAGAAGCAUGGGGCCUAGUGGCUCAUGGUGCUUUCAAUAAAUUUCUUGUUUUAACUAAA